rnacentral:rRNA from 1 species
UUAGAUUACCGGAGGUAAAGCACUGAAUGGGCUAGGGGCUGAUAAAGUUACUGAACCCUAUCAAACUCAGAAUGCCGGCUAAUUGAUGCAUAGCAGUCAGACUACGUGAGAUAAGUCUCGUGGUCAAAAGGGAAACAGCCCAGACCCACAGCUAAGGUCCCAAAUAAUUGCUAAGUGGAAAACGAUGUGAGAUUGCCCAGACAACCAGGAUGUUGGCUUAGAAGCAGCCACACAUUAAAAGAGUGCGUAAUAGCUCACUGGUCGAGUGGUCUUGCGCGGAAAAUAUAACGGGGCUAAGCAGUUAACCGAAGCUUGGGCUUGCCGAAGGCAGGGGUAGGGGAGCGUCGAAUACGGGGUGAAGUCGCAGCGAGAGCAGCGGUGGACUGUAUUCGAGUGAGAAUGCCGGAAUGAGUAGCGAGAAUUAUGUGGGAAUCAUAAUGGCCGAAAAUCUAAGGUUUCCUGGGGAAGGUUCGUCCGCCCAGGGUUAGCCGGGAGCUAAGGCGAGGCCGCGAGGCGUAGUCGAUGCACAUACGGUUGAAAUUCCGUAGCCACCUUAUCGAAUGAAAGCUGACACUUGGAAAUAGCGGGACCCGGAGAUUGGUAGAUCCGGGCGUAAGGGACCGAACACGAGUAGGGAAGUCCGCGAUGUUCUGAGGCGAGAAAAGGCGAAGGUAGGGUGCCCGUACCGCAAACCGACACAGGUAGAUGAGGAGAGAAUCCUAAGGCCAACGGGAGAAGGGUUGUUAAGGAACUCGGCAAAAUGACCCCGUAACUUCGGGAUAAGGGGAGCCUGCGCGAGCAGGCCGCAGAGAAUAGGCCCAAGCGACUGUUUACCAAAAACACAGGUCUAUGCUAAAUCGAAAGAUGACGUAUAUGGGCUGACGCCUGCCCGGUGCUGGAAGGUUAAGAGGAGAUGUCAGGCAACGAAGCAUUGAAUCGAAGCCCCAGUAAACGGCGGCCGUAACUAUAACGGUCCUAAGGUAGCGAAAUUCCUUGUCAGGUAAGUUCUGACCCGCACGAAUGGCGUAACGAUUUGGGCGCUGUCUCAACAGCCCACCCGGCGAAAUUGUUGUACUGGUGAAGAAGCCAGUUACCCGCAACUAGACGGAAAGACCCCAUGGAGCUUUACUGCAGCUUAAUACUGGAAUUCGGUAAUUCAUGUACAGGAUAGGUGGGAGACAUGGAAGUACGGUCGUCAGGUCGUAUGGAGUCGCCCUUGGGAUACCACUCUUGGAUUGCUGGGUUUCUAACCUGCGGCCGUGAAUCCGGUCGGGGGACACUGUUAGGCAGACAGUUUGACUGGGGCGGUCGCCUCCUAAAAGGUAACGGAGGCGCUCAAAGGUUGGCUCAGCACGGACGGAAAUCGUGCGGUGAGUGUAAACGUAUAAGCCAGCCUAACUGCGAGAGUGACGGCUCGAGCAGUAACGAAAGUUGGAGUUAGUGAUCCGGUGGUAUGUGAGUGGAAAUGCCAUCGCUCAACUAAUNCAAGCUACCCUGGGGAUAACAGGCUGUCUCCCCUUAACGUCCA